UAUUCUGCCCCAUGGGGAAGGAUGAGAAGCUUCGACUAAGGUUCGACUCGAGCGCCAGCGAGAGAACGUUGCCACAGG
rnacentral:sRNA from 1 species